rnacentral:rRNA from 1 species
UAAGUUAAUAAGGGCGCACGGUGGAUGCCUUGGCACUAGGAGCCGACGAAGGACGUGACAAACGACGAUAUGCCUUGGGUAGCUGUAAGUAAGCGAUGAUCCAGGGAUUUCCGAAUGGGGGAACCCAACAGGUAAUACCUGUUACCUACAUCUGUUAAGGAUGUGAGGAGGAAGACGCAGUGAACUGAAACAUCUAAGUAGCUGCAGGAAGAGAAAGCAAAAGCGAUUGCCUUAGUAGCGGCGAGCGAAACGGCAGAAGGGCAAACCGAAGAGUUUACUCUUCGGGGUUGUAGGACUGCAAUGUGGACUCAAAGAUUAUAGAAGAAUGAUUUGGGAAGAUCAGCCAAAGAGAGUAAUAGCCUCGUAUUUAAAAUAGUCUUUGUACUUAGCAGUAUCCUGAGUACGGCGGGACACGUGAAAUCCCGUCGGAAUCUGGGAGGACCAUCUCCCAACCCUAAAUACUCCCUAGUGACCGAUAGUGAACCAGUACCGUGAGGGAAAGGUGAAAAGCCCCCGGGAGGGGAGUGAAAUAGAACCUGAAACCGUGUGCCUACAACAAGUUCGAGCCCGUUAAUGGGUGAGAGCGUGCCUUUUGUAGAAUGAACCGGCGAGUUACGUUAUGAUGCGAGGUUAAGUUGAAGAGACGGAGCCGUAGGGAAACCGAGUCUGAAUAGGGCGCCUUAGUAUCAUGACGUAGACCCGAAACCAUGUGACCUACCCAUGAGCAGGUUGAAGGUGCGGUAAGACGCACUGGAGGACCGAACCAGGGCACGUUGAAAAGUGCUUGGAUGACUUGUGGGUAGCGGAGAAAUUCCAAACGAACUUGGAGAUAGCUGGUUCUCUCCGAAAUAGCUUUAGGGCUAGCGUCGACAUUAGAGAUUCUUGGAGGUAGAGCACUGUUUGGGUGAGGGGUCCAUCCCGGAUUACCAAUCUCAGAUAAACUCCGAAUGCCAAUGAAUUAUGGUCGGCAGUCAGACUGCGAGUGCUAAGAUCCGUAGUCGAAAGGGAAACAGCCCAGACCACCAGCUAAGGUCCCAAAAUAAUUGUUAAGUGGAAAAGGAUGUGGGGUUGCACAGACAACUAGGAUGUUAGCUUAGAAGCAGCUAUUCAUUCAAAGAGUGCGUAAUAGCUCACUAGUCGAGUGACCCUGCGCCGAAAAUGUACCGGGGCUAAAACAAUUUACCGAAGCUGUGGAUACCUUUAUAGGUAUGGUAGGAGAGCGUUCUAUGUGUGAUGAAGGUAUACCGUGAGGAGUGCUGGAACGCAUAGAAGUGAGAAUGCCGGUAUGAGUAGCGAAAGACAGGUGAGAAUCCUGUCCACCGUAAGACUAAGGUUUCCAGGGGAAGGCUCGUCCGCCCUGGGUUAGUCGGGACCUAAGGAGAGACCGAAAGGUGUAUCCGAUGGACAACAGGUUGAUAUUCCUGUACUAGAGUAUGUAGUGAUGGAGGGACGCAGUAGGCUAACUAAAGCAGACGAUUGGAAGAGUCUGUCUAAGCAGUGAGGUGUGAAUUGAGUCAAAUGCUUAAUUCUAUAACAUUGAGCUGUGAUGGGGAGCGAAGUUUAGUAGCGAAGUUAGUGACGUCACACUGCCAAGAAAAGCUUCUAGCGUUUAAACAUACUCUACCCGUACCGCAAACCGACACAGGUAGUCGAGGCGAGUAGCCUCAGGUGAGCGAGAGAACUCUCGUUAAGGAACUCGGCAAAAUGACCCCGUAACUUCGGGAGAAGGGGUGCUGACUUAAAGUCAGCCGCAGUGAAUAGGCCCAAGCAACUGUUUAUCAAAAACACAGCUCUCUGCUAAAUCGUAAGAUGAUGUAUAGGGGGUGACGCCUGCCCGGUGCUGGAAGGUUAAGAGGAGUGCUUAGCGUAAGCGAAGGUAUGAAUUGAAGCCCCAGUAAACGGCGGCCGUAACUAUAACGGUCCUAAGGUAGCGAAAUUCCUUGUCGGGUAAGUUCCGACCCGCACGAAAGGCGUAAUGAUUUGGGCACUGUCUCAACGAGAGACUCGGUGAAAUUUUAGUACCUGUGAAGAUGCAGGUUACCCGCGACAGGACGGAAAGACCCCAUGGAGCUUUACUGCAGUUUGAUAUUGAGUGUCUGUACCACAUGUACAGGAUAGGUAGGAGUCUAAGAGAUCGGGACGCCAGUUUCGAAGGAGACGCUGUUGGGAUACUACCCUUGUGUUAUGGCCACUCUAACCCAGAUAGGUGAUCCCUAUCGGAGACAGUGUCUGACGGGCAGUUUGACUGGGGCGGUCGCCUCCUAAAAGGUAACGGAGGCGCCCAAAGGUUCCCUCAGAAUGGUUGGAAAUCAUUCGCAGAGUGUAAAGGUAUAAGGGAGCUUGACUGCGAGAGCUACAACUCGAGCAGGGACGAAAGUCGGGCUUAGUGAUCCGGUGGUUCCGUAUGGAAGGGCCAUCGCUCAACGGAUAAAAGCUACCCUGGGGAUAACAGGCUUAUCUCCCCCAAGAGUUCACAUCGACGGGGAGGUUUGGCACCUCGAUGUCGGCUCGUCGCAUCCUGGGGCUGUAGUCGGUCCCAAGGGUUGGGCUGUUCGCCCAUUAAAGCGGCACGCGAGCUGGGUUCAGAACGUCGUGAGACAGUUCGGUCCCUAUCCGUCGCGGGCGUAGGAAAUUUGAGAGGAUCUGCUCCUAGUACGAGAGGACCAGAGUGGACUUACCGCUGGUGUACCAGUUGUCUUGCCAAAGGCAUCGCUGGGUAGCUAUGUAGGGAAGGGAUAAACGCUGAAAGCAUCUAAGUGUGAAACCCACCUCAAGAUGAGAUUUCCCAUGAUUAUAUAUCAGUAAGAGCCCUGAGAGAUGAUCAGGUAGAUAGGUUAGAAGUGGAAGUGUGGCGACACAUGUAGCGGACUAAUACUAAUAGCUCGAGGACUUAUCCA